GACACAAUAGCUAAGUCGGUAAAGCUACUGAAGUGAAAUAUUCCGCAGGUUCCAGAUUCGAAUCCUGCUCGUGUCG
rnacentral:tRNA from 1 species